rnacentral:rRNA from 1 species
UGGGGAAUUUUGGACAAUGGGGGCAACCCUGAUCCAGCAACGCCGCGUGAAUGAAGAAGGCCUUCGGGUUGUAAAGUUCUUUUAUUUGCGAGCAAAAGUUAUGUAUGAAUAGUAUAUGACGAUGAGAGUAGCAAAGGAAUAAGCACCGGCUAACUACGUGCCAGCAGCCGCGGUAAUACGUAGGGUGCGAGCGUUAAUCGGAAUUACUGGGCGUAAAGGGUGCGUAGGCGGAUAUAUAAGUUAGAUGUGAAAAGCCCGGGCUUAACCUUGGUCGUGCAUUUAAGACUGUAUGUCUAGAGUUUGUAAGAGGGGUGUAGAAUUCCAAGUGUAGCAGUGAAAUGCGUAGAGAUUUGGAGGAAUACCGAUGGCGAAGGCAGCACCCUGGUAUAGAACUGACGCU